ACGCUCGACACCUACUGGAGGCAGCAGUGGGGAAUAUUGCACAAUGGGGGAAACCCUGAUGCAGCGACGCCGCGUGAGCGAAGAAGUAUCUCGGUAUGUAAAGCUCUAUCAGCAGGGAAGAAGAUGACGGUACCUGACUAAGAAGCACCGGCUAAAUACGUGCCGACAGCCGCGGUAAUCUGAGCGGGCUGGCAAGGC
rnacentral:rRNA from 1 species